GAAAGUCGUGUGCAAUGAAAAAUGCAAGCACGAUUUGGGGAGGGAUUUUUCUCUAUUGUAACAAGGACGAAUUAUCUACUCCAU
rnacentral:ncRNA from 1 species